rnacentral:rRNA from 1 species
ACUGGAGUUUGAUCCUGGCUCAGAUUGAACGCUGGCGGCAUGCUUUACACAUGCAAGUCGAACGGUAACAGGGUGCUUGCACCGCUGACGAGUGGCGAACGGGUGAGUAAUACAUCGGAAUGUACCCAGUAAUGGGGAUAACGCUUCGAAGGAGUGCUAAUACCGCAUACGCCCUCGAGGGUAGUGGGACCGCGAAGGCCGUCACGUUAUGAGCAGCCGAUGGCUGAUUAGCUAGUUGGUGAGGUAAAGGCUCACCAAGGCGACGAUCAGUAGCGGGUCUUAGAGGACGAUCCGCCACACUGGAACUGAGACACGGUCCAGACU